GAUGAACGCUAGCUACAGGCUUAACACAUGCAAAUCGCGGGGCAUCAUGGUGUGUAGCAAUACACACUGAUGGCGACCGGCGGAUGGGUGAGUAACGCGUAUCCAACCUGGCCCUAUCUCGGGUACAGCCCCUCGAAAGAGGGAUUAAUCCCCGAUGUUCCCUGGGAUCCGCAUGUUUUCCAGGGCAAAGGCAUUUGUCGGAUAGGGAUGGGGAUGCGUUCCAUUAGGCAGUCGGCGGGGUAACGGCCCACCGAGCCGACGAUGGAUAGGGGUUCUGAGAGGAAGGCCCCCCACACUGGGACUGAGACACGGCCCAGACUCCUACGGGAGGCAGCAGUGAGGAAUAUUGGUCAAUGGCGGUAACGCUGAACCAGCCAAGUAGCGUGAGGGAUUACGGCCCUAUGGGUUUUAAACCUCUUUUGUUAGGGAGCAACCGGUGGCACUAGUGCCAUUCUGCGAGUACCUUUCGAAUAAGCAUCGGCUAACUCCGUGCCAGCAGCCGCGGUAAUACGGAGGAUGCGAGCGUUAUCCGGAUUUAUUGGGUUUAAAGGGAGCGCGGACGGGUGAUUAAGUCAGCUGUUAAAUUUCGGGGCCCAACCCCGUUAUGCGGUUGAUACUGGUUAUCUUGAGUGCGGCAUGGGCAGGCGGAAUUCACGGUGUAGCGGUGAAAAAAUGCUUAGAUAUCGUGAAGAACUCCGAUCGCGAAGGCAGCCUGCCGGACCGUUACUGACGUUUAGGCUCGAAAGUGCGGGUAUCAAACAGGAUUAGAUACCCUGGUAGUCCGCACAGUAAACGAUGGACACUCGCUGUCGGCGACAGACAGUCGGCGGCCUAGCGAAAGCGUUAAGUGUCCCACCUGGGGAGUACGCCGGCAACGGUGAAACUCAAAGGAAUUGACGGGGGCCCGCACAAGCGGAGGAACAUGUGGUUUAAUUCGAUGAUACGCGAGGAACCUUACCCGGGCUUGAACUGCAUAUGACAGACUGAGAGAUUGGUUUUCCCUUCGGGGCAUAUGUGGAGGUGCUGCAUGGUUGUCGUCAGCUCGUGCCGUGAGGUGUCGGCUUAAGUGCCAUAACGAGCGCAACCCCUUCCUUCAGUUGCCAUCGGUUUUAGCCGGGCACUCUGUAGGGACUGCCGCCGUAAGGUGUGAGGAAGGCGGGGAUGACGUCAAAUCAGCACGGCCCUUACGUCCGGGGCUACACACGUGUUACAAUGGGGGGUACAGCGGGAUGCCACCGGGCAACCGGGCGCCGAUCCUGAAAUCCCUCCGUAGUUCGGAUUGGGGUCUGCAACCCGACCCCAUGAAGCUGGAUUCGCUAGUAAUCGCGCAUCAGCCAUGGCGCGGUGAAUACGUUCCCGGGCCUUGUACACACCGCCCGUCAAGCCAUGAAAGCCGGGAGUACCUGAAGUGCGUAACCGCAAGGAGCGCCCUAGGGCAAGACCGGUGAUGGGG
rnacentral:rRNA from 1 species